CGAUUGUUACUUCUGAGAGCUUCUAUUUGUUUCAGUGCAGAGAGAGAGAGAGAGAGAAACUGCGUGUGUGAGAGUAAAAAAGGAGUGAUCGAUCUGAUCGUUCAUAGCUAUCGUUGUGUUAUCAUUCAUCUAUUCAUAAAAAGUAAUCGUCGCUCCUAAAUUGAGAUUCUACUGAUAAUCUGAGAGAAGAAAAUUUCAUUAAAAGCAAAGAGAAAACGAACUUACUGAUUCGGCGAAGCACAAGAGAACGGCUUUGAAUCUGAGUUUAUUUGGAGGUCAAUGACUAUAAUUACAGACGUUAUUCUCUAGGUUGGUGGUGGUGGGGGAAUUUCACCUGGGAAGUUGAGGACUAUGCUACUUGGGGUGGAGAAGAAGAGGAAGGAGCUGGAAGAUUUUGAAUCUACUUUCAAUUUGAGAUCUCAAGCUUCUGAAUUUGAACGGACUGGAUGAUACUGAAUUUCUCAUAGCUUCUGCUGAUCAAACUUUAAGCUGUCAAAUCUUUUGAGUCCACAUCCGCCUGAUCCUGAUAGAGCAUAUGAGUGCAACUCAGCCUCCAAAAACACGCUCUCACAGCUCUGUAUGGCCAAUUGCUGUGGCUAAAGAGGCUCAUCUUACCCCACAAGCAAAACGUUCGAUGCACGAAAAGACUGCUCCAAGGAGCAUCUUACAUCAGUUCUUAAUCUUAAAGAUGAGGUAUCCAUUGCUACUGCUGGAGCUGUGGACAGGGCCUGAACCAUAAUCUGGAUCAUUUUUACCUUCUCAAUAAGUUUGAUUUGAACUUAUUGAUGCUGGGGAGGAUGAGUGCAGUAUCGAAACAAAUUGACUGAGGUAUGUAGAGCCAAUAAUUCUCCUUCAAUUUUGUUAAAUUCUGGGUUAGAUAAUCAUUGACUGAGAUUGUCAACUCCUUAAUCUCUAUUGUUUAAUGAAUUCUAACGCACUCAAUACUUAAUCUAUCUUUUGGGUUACCUCUGCGCAAGUUACGACAUAGGUUAUUCCAUCUCUUCGUUUCUCUGUCUGAACUUGGCUUGAAUGAUUGUUUAGCUUUUUUGGGUGAUACUUGAUUUGUAUGAGAUAGUUAUGGUUCGGGGGCUUGGUUGUCUACCUUGAUUGUCUUUCUCACAGGUUAGUCUUCUAAAGAACUAUUUACUCUUUGUUUCAUAUGAUAUAUGCUGUGGCAUUAUCUAGGUUUUGAGAAUUUUUGUUUGAAAUGAUUGUUGGCAUUAGCCAGAAAAGAGAGGAAUACCUUGGGUUGGUGGAAGGGUUGCCAACAUAAGUGCAGGAAGAAUUGCUGGAUAACAGUCUCCGGGAAGAUCUGACAUGGAGGCCAUCUACUUUGAUGAAGAUGUAAGGAACUCAAGAUGACACCAAUUGAAAACAAGAGCAUUGUUGGGUUAUGGAAUGGGAGGUGGAAGACGGUCAAAAUCAGAUUGGAGAUACUGUAAUCGGUUUUCCAGGUUUCACGCUUUGUGCAGCCUGUGCUUAAUCUGGAGGUUGUACAUAUUGAAGGGGGGAGAGGUUUGUACUGGAAACAAGCAAAGAGGUUGGGUUGGAAUCCAAAGAAAAAGGAAACUCCACAUAUCACUGUUCAUGAUUAGAAGUGGCUACUUAGCAUAGUUGCAACACAUAUCCUACGAAAGUAAGCUUCUGAGGACUAUCUUUGUUGGAAAAUUACCAGUGAAGGUGAAGAAGAAGGUUUUGAUCUGGAAGUUCAUUAAGUUUGAAGAGGUGGAGCCUAUGAGGAUUUGAUCUGAGCCGAUAGAGGAUAAAAGUAGCGGAAACUUAUAAAGAAACUCCAUAAGAAAGCUAACAGGUCAACUAGCAGAUCAAAGUGGCAACUUCAAUUUUGUUUGGAGCCUUAGGACUAUCACAGUGG